rnacentral:rRNA from 1 species
UACGUAGGGUGCGAGCGUUGUCCGGAAUUAUUGGGCGUAAAGAGCUCGUAGGCGGUGUGUCGCGUCGGCCGUGAAAACCUGCAGCUUAACUGUGGGCUUGCGGUCGAUACGGGCAUCACUGGAGUUCGGCAGGGGAGACUGGAAUUCCUGGUGUAGCGGUGAAAUGCGCAGAUAUCAGGAGGAACACCGGUGGCGAAGGCGGGUCUCUGGGCCGAUACUGACGCUGAGGCGCGAAAGCGUGGGGAGCGAACAGG